GCAGUAGGAGGGCUCUGGAAUGUUGGGGGAGGGGUCAUGAGGAAAACCAGAAAUUGGCCUUUCUCUUUUAUAAACCGUCAGAACCAUUGUGACUAAUAUGAAAUGAAGACAUUAUUCUUAUUCUGCACCCAGCCCCAGUGAACUUUUUAAGUAAUUGUUUUGUAAGCAAUUUUUGUAUUUGCAAAAGUCUUUGCUUUCUCUUCCCACUUUCUUACAGGAAGUCUGUUAUUUCCUUAUUGGAUACAGCCAUAGUAAGCCUCUCUAGUGAUCCACCUUGAGGGGUUCAGAACUCCCUCAGGAAGGUCACCACAUCAUUUACCCGCUGCUUCUCUGCAGAAUUUUUGUCUCUCAGACCCAGGGGAAGUUGGCUUUGUCUUUUCUCUACAAAAGACUCCCAGAUCUGAGACCAGGAGAGAUUUUGAUUGUGUAACUCAUUUUUUUAUAAAUACACCGUUCUGUAGUUCUUUCAGUUUAAGCCAGCAGACGUUGCCAGCCUUCCCCUCGUUCUGCCUCUACAGAGUUGCUUCUUGAAGUAAGAAGGACUCAUGAGUCAUGGCUUUUUGUGUCGUUAGCAACCCGGAACAGCCCUUGCACAGCAGCCUUUCCUACUGGGUGGGCAGUGCUGGGAGGCACCCAGAGGAGUCUUCCGGUUGUGUGAAACUGCAGGUCCUGCUCCCCGUCUGCCCAGGCUGCAAGCUACAGCUGCAGAGCACUCCAUAGACUCCUUCCAGGGUCUUAGGACAAAUAUCAAAUAAUUAAU
rnacentral:lncRNA from 1 species